rnacentral:rRNA from 1 species
UAGGGAAUCUUCGGCAAUGGGGGCAACCCUGACCGAGCAACGCCGCGUGAGUGAAGAAGGUUUUCGGAUCGUAAAGCUCUGUUGUAAGUCAAGAACGGGUGUGAGAGUGGAAAGUUCACACUGUGACGGUAGCUUACCAGAAAGGGACGGCUAACUACGUGCCAGCAGCCGCGGUAAUACGUAGGUCCCGAGCGUUGUCCGGAUUUAUUGGGCGUAAAGCGAGCGCAGGCGGUUUGAUAAGUCUGAAGUUAAAGGCUGUGGCUCAACCAUAGUUCGCUUUGGAAACUGUCAAACUUGAGUGCAGAAGGGGAGAGUGGAAUUCCAUGUGUAGCGGUGAAAUGCGUAGAUAUAUGGAGGAACACCGGUGCGAAAGCGGCUCUCUGGUCUGUAACUGACGCUGAGGCUCGAAAGCGUGGGGAGCGAACAGGA